rnacentral:rRNA from 1 species
CAAUAGCGUAUAUUAAAGUUGUUGCAGUUAAAAAGCUCGUAGUUGAACUUCAGGCUUGGCGGGGUGGUCUGCCUCACGGUAUGUACUACCCGGCCGAGCCUUACCUCCUGGUGAGCCUGCAUGCCGUUUAUUCGGUGUGUAGGGGAACCAGGAAUUUUACUUUGAAAAAAUUAGAGUGUUCAAAGCAGGCAUAUGCCCGAACACAUUAGCAUGGAAUAAUAGAAUAGGACGUGCGGUUCUAUUUUGUUGAUUUCUAGGAUCGCCGUAAUGAUUAAUAGGGACGGUUGGGGGCAUUAGUAUUCAGUUGCUAGAGGUGAAAUUCUUAGAUUUACUGAAGACUAACUACUGCGAAAGCAUUUGCCAAGGACGUUUUCAUUAA